GAAGAAAACGGAAAACACAAUAACGUGUGCUAAGAAGUCGUUAAUAUGGCUUGCAACUGUUGCCUAUUUGUUUGUAAACACUUUUUCAUGAAACUGUCAAACGCAAGCUAAAAAUGGCAACCUAGCAACGGCCUCUGCAUCGACCUGUUCUCCUUAAUAGAUCUUGUACAGGGUGUUCGAGAUAAAUUUGACACCUGGUCUUUGGGUUUAUAUCUCAGGGUUGAGUUGACGUAUCGAAAUGAUUGAUAUGCCAUUCGAUUGCUAAAAGUUGUGCGAACAAGUGCGAACAAUGUCUAGCUCCGUAAAUAUACAACGAAUUGCACAAGCGCGUAACGUGUGUUAUGAUGGUUCGUGCCGGCCAUACGAAUGUCGAAAUUCGAAAGGCGGCGAUGUGUUCGCUGAACAUCGUAAAAACAAUACCGUGGCCAAUGGGCGGACGUACGUUUGGCAGCAGGAUUCUGCACCAUGCCAUACGGCCGUAAAAACACGCCGAUGGCUCAAUGCCAAUUUCGACCGGUACACCAGCACCGACGUUUGGCCACCCAACUCCCCUGACCUUAAUCCUAUGGAUUAUUUUGUGUGGGGCACAGUUGAGCGCACACCAACAGGGCGUCCUGCAAUACCAAAGCGGAGUUGGUGGCCAGAAUAAAGGUCGUGAAGCGGAGGGGGGGUACUUCGAAUAAAAAAUGCGGCAAACAUGAAACUGUCUAAUUUAUCUCGAACACCCUGUAUUCGCUCCAGUUAGGAACGACAGUGACUGUGUACGCCUUCAAAUGAUCCUUGAGGAUCUCGACCGCUGGUGCAGCAGAAACGCCCUCUAAGUGUAACCAAAUUUGUUCGCUCUCUAUCGGAUACCUAGAUCAAAUUUCCAUCUUCAUGUACCGCGUACUCGCAUCAUUUAUAGCCAGGGACACCUCGAUUUUAGUAUGUCUACAUCUCCGUUCAAGGAGAAAUUGCUUCUACGUCACAUUUAAUGUUGUUCGUUGCUACACAACAUUGCAAGUCCUGCCUGCGAAUGGUAAGAUUAAUUGUAUUUGAGAGUUAAUAGUGCAAGGGUGUGAAUGCAACAUGAAAAACGUUUUCUCUUGUCCCUGUGACCUUGAAUCAACCUGCAACCUGGCAUCCUGUUCAUUAGUUAAUUAACGAAAAUGCAUCGCUGUCGGUGGUAAUAUGUCAGAACGGCCUCCUUUUGAAACGACACGUGAUGGAAACGCUGGCACCUUGUCAUCCAGGAACGAGAGACCAAAUACAUCGACCGUGUUAAACACUCCCAAGCCAAGUUCCAAACAAGCUAAUUCAUCAGUUGCAAAUGAAUGUGAGAAUGUGAUGUGCGCCAAACAUGAAAAAAAAAACCUAGCUACGGUAGACACUAUCAAAAGAUUGUGAUUGUGUUUGCUAUCAAGAAAUCCAUGCAGCAAUGUAUGGAUCGUAGGAACGAUAAUGAAGAGUUUACUCUGAACAAAAUAUGUACUGCCGAAGAGCUAUCUGUUUUUGAAAAUGCAUUGGCAAGUGAUGAUGAUUUUCAAAAUAUGAAGAAGGAAAUCCAUGCAUCUGUACAUCGGCUCAAUGUUGAAUAUCGCUUGCACGGCACGCUUGAUCUAGUGUUCGAUCGCAAAUUCGUUCCCGAAUACAGCUGGAAGGGUCUAUCAAGACCAAGCGUAAGAAAAUAGCAAUGGCAGCGCAGACCAAUAUAAUGAAAUUGUUUUAAGAAGUAAGAAGCGAUUAACGACUAAAAACGAUUUUUUUCUCUUAGAGAAAGGCGUGGUUGCAAAUAAACAGAAUUCUUCAUAGUCAUUUGAA